GACUAUCCUUGGUUGGUUGACCACUAGUCUUACUGUGUGUGUGCAAUGCUAGAUUUUGGUGCAAACAGGUGCAUCACCUGAGGUAGUCC
rnacentral:tRNA from 1 species